UUGAAUUUGGGUUUUAACUUAGGUUUGGGUGGCGGACGGGUGAGUAACGCGUAAAGAACUUGCCUCACAGGUAGGGACAACAUUUGGAAACGAAUGCUAAUACCUAAUAUUAUGAUAAUAGGGCAUCCUAUAAUUAUGAAAGCUAUAAGCGCUGUGAGAGAGCUUUGCGUCCCAUUAGCUAGUUGGAGAGGUAACGGCUCACCAAGGCGAUGAUGGGUAGCCGGCCUGAGAGGGUGAUCGGCCACAAGGGGACUGAGACACGGCCCUUACUCCUACGGGAGGCAGCAGUGGGGAAUAUUGGACAAUGGACCAAGAGUCUGAUCCAGCAAUUCUGUGUGCACGAUGAAGUUUUUCGGAAUGUAAAGUGCUUUCAGUUGGGAAGAAAGAAAUGACGGUACCAACAGAAGAAGUGACGGCUAAAUACGUGCCAGCAGCCGCGGUAAUACGUAUGUCACGAGCGUUAUCCGGAUUUAUUGGGCGUAAAGCGCGUCUAGGUGGUUAUAUAAGUCUGAUGUGAAAAUGCAGGGCUCAACUCUGUAUUGCGUUGGAAACUGUAUAACUAGAGUACUGGAGAGGUAAGCGGAACUACAAGUGUAGAGGUGAAAUUCNGUAGAUAUUUGUAGGAAUGCCGAUGGGGAAGCCAGCUUACUGGACAG
rnacentral:rRNA from 1 species